AGUGAACGCUGGCGGUAGGCCUAACACAUGCAAGUCGAACGGCCGCACAGUAAGAGUUUGCUCUUACGGGUGGCGAGUGGCGGAUGGGUGAGGCAUACAUCGGCUUCUACUUUUUCGUGGGGAAUUACGUAGGGAAACUUCUGCUAAUACCGCAUACGUCCUACGGGUGAAAUCAGUGGUGCUUCGGACUUUGCGCGAUUCAUUGAGACGAUGUCGGAUUAGCUAGUUGGCGAGGUAAAGGCCCACCAAGGCGACGAUCCGUAGCUGACCUGAGAGGAUGAUCGGCCACACUGGAACUGAGACACGGUCCAGACUCCUACGGGAGGCAGCAGUGGGGAAUCUUCCGCAAUGGGCGAAAGCCUGACGGAGCAAUGCCGCGUGAGUGAUGAAGGUCUUCGGAUCGUAAAACUCUGUUAUUAGGAAAGAAAAACUGUAUAAGUAAAUAUGCACGUCUUGACGGUACCUAAUCAGAAAGCCACGGCUAACUACGUG
rnacentral:rRNA from 1 species